AACUGAAACAUCUUAGUAGUACCAGGAAGGUAAAUCAACCGAGAUUUUGAUAGUAGUGGCGAGCGAAUUCAAAAUAAGUUAAUUAAAAAAGUAAAAUUCUGGAAUGUUUUGCAAUAAAAGGUGAUAGCCCUGUAACUUUUUUAAUUUUUAAUUUCUAAGUAAAACGAUACACGUUAUGUUGUUUGAAAAUCGGGGUACCACCCUCGAAAAAAGAAUAUCUUUUAUUAUCUAUAGAGAAAGUACCGUAAGGGAACGUUGAAAGAGUAUCUCGAAUAAGAGAAGUGAAAUAGACUUAAAAUUGAAUACGGAUUUAACAAUAUGAGCAAUUAUUUUGUGAAUAUGUACCUUUUGUAUAAUGGGUCAACGACUUAAUGUAAAUUGCAAGCUGAAAGGCUAAGUGAAAGCAAGUUUUAAAAGACAAUAGUAAUUUAUAUUAUACCCGAAACCAUGUGAUCUAUCUAUGAGCAGGUUUUAGACCGAACCCGUAUCUGUUGCAAUAGGUUGGGAUGACUUGUGGAUAGGCGUGAAAGGCGAAUCAAACAUGGAAAUAGCUGGUUUUCUUCGAAAAUUAUUUAGGUAAUGCAAUCUUGUUUAAUUAAGGAGGGGUAAAGCUCUGUAUCGCUGAUGGGGGCCUAAAGCCUUACUGAUGUGAUGUAAACUUGAAAUACUCCAAAGAUUAGUCAGACAUUGGGUGCAAAGGUCUAAUGUCAAAAGGGAAACAGCCCAGAUCAUAGGUUAAGGUCUUUAAGCUUAGUUUAGUAAAAGAUUGUUUUUAAGUGUUGAUAAUGGGAAGGUGGGCUUGGAGGCAGCCAUCCUAUAAUGAAAGCGUAACAGCUCACCCUUUUAGUAGCUUUUAAAUGUCGAAAAUUAGAGGGAUUUAAAUUAAGCACCGAAACCAUGAAUAACUUUUUUAGUUAUGGUAGAAGAACGUCUUGUAUAUUAAAGAUAAUCGUGAGAUUAUCAGUAGCUCAAGAGUGAAAAUGUUGACAUGAGUAGAAUAAAAUAAUGUUUUAGAAUCAUUAUGGCCGUAAGCUUAAGGUUUUUUUGGAGCAACUAAAUUUCCAAUUUAUAAUCCGGCCCCUAAGGAUAUACACUAUAUGUAAUCUGAUGGGUAGUGUUUUAGUGACAACAAAAAUAAACAUGUUUUAUAGAUUAUAGCUACAACUUAUUUUUGUUCAAGAAAAAACUAUUACAUAUAAACCGUACUAAAACCGCUACAGGUGAGCGGGUAGAGUAUACUCAGGCCAUGGAAUAACUAUUCUGAAGGAACUCGGCAAAAUUGCUCCGUAACUUCGGGAGAAGGAGUACCUUUAACAAGGUGACACAAAAUGAGACUUGCGACUGGUUAUCAAAACCACAGGACUUUGCGAAAUCGUAAGAUGAUGUAUAAGGUCUGACGCCUGCCCGGUGCAGAAAAACAAAAUGGAGAAAUAUAGUGUUUCGAAAAUAAGUUUCUGUAAACGGCGGUCCUAACUCUGAGGAUCCUAAGGUAGCGAAAUUCUUUGCCACCUAACUAGUGGCCUGCAUGAAUGGCGUAACGACUUGUCUGCUGUCUCCAGAAUAGAUCCAUCGAAAUUGAAUUCUACGUGAAGAUGCGUAGUAAAAGUAGCUAGACGAAAAGACCCUGUGCACCUUUACUAUAUCCUUUGAUUGUACAUUAAUAAAGAUUAUUUAGAAUAUGUGGUAGUUUAAGACAUCAUAGCGCUAGCUAUUUAUCGAGACAACAAUGAAAUCCCACUUUUUUUUUAUUAAUGUUACUAAUAAAAGUUUUUUUUGAUCAUCAAAGGGGGGUAGUUUGACUGGGGCGGUCGCUUUCUAAAGAGUAACGAAAGUGCGCAAAGGUAACCUCAAGUAUGUCGGAAACAUACUGUAGAGUGUAAUGGCAAAAGGUUGCCUGACUGUUAGAAUAACAAUUCAAACAGGGAUGUACUUAUGUAUGUCGGCCAUAGUGAUCCGAUGGUGCUGUGUGGAAAGGCCAUCGCCAACGAAUAAAAGGUACGCCAGGGAUAACAGGCUAAUGAUUCUCGAGAGUCCUUAUUGACGGAAUUGUUUGGCACCUCGAUGUCGACUCUUCGCAUCCUGGGGCUGUAUAAGGUCCCAAUGGUUCGGCUGUUCGCCGAUUAAAGCGGAACGUGAGUUGGGUUCAGAACGUCGUGAGACAGUUCGGUUUCUAUCUACUAUUUUUGAAAAGAUUGCGAGAACUAAACCUUAGUACGAGAGGACCGGGUUUGUUAAGUCAAUGGUGUUUCUGUUGUUUUAUCAAGAGCAAUGCAGAGUAGCUAAACUUAAAUAUCAUAAUUACUGAAAGCAUAUAAGUAAGAAAGGUUGCUCAAAAAAUCUUUAGUAAAAUGUUCUAGACUAGAACAUAAAAUAAUUAUAGGUAAAAAGUGUACGCAUAGUAAUAUGUUGAGCUGAUUUUAUACUAAAA
rnacentral:rRNA from 1 species